ensembl:lncRNA
CUGGCAGGCUUACAGUUCAUGGGGUCACAAAGAGCUGGACACGACUGAGCGACUAACAAACACUAACAUAUAACGUGUCCACCAGCCUCCAGGGCCAAAGAAAGAAGGAACCGCUUUCUGCCCAUCCUGAGCCACUCGGCCGCACUGUUGACUGUACACAUGAUGAACCCAGAUGUCCUGAGUCCUCCUGCCUCGGUCUGACCUCCAAACCUUUACACGCGCCAGGCCCUCCUCCGCCCUAACCCUUUCCCACGCGCCGCCGUCACACUGUCAGAAACAGGGCCCCACCCACGGCCGCCCCGCCGCCCCAGAGGCUGGGCCUGCGCUGCAGGCGCGUGAGCGGCGCCGGGCCCCGCGGGCUCUGGAGUCUGGCGGAGCGUUUACCUGCGGCGGUCCCACUGCGUGGCCAGCCACUGCGCGCUGGGCACGGGGGUCCGUAUUCUGGCCUGGUCCGGUUGCCUCCAGUGGUGUCGCCAGCCUCGGUCCUGUCUUUGUGGCGCGGAAAGGAGAGAGGCCCCUCCACUGGAGCUUUCUCAGACUCAUCGCCCCGGCCUGAACCGGCACCUCGUGAGAACAGACCCAGCGAGGGUAAAAUGGCCGCCCUUUACGCGGGAGGCUAGAAGUCCCUGGUGGACAGAAAUAGAAAUCAUCGAGAUAACAUGCAAGAAAGAUGCUAGUUUCCUGAAACGUAAGUUCCUGAGAGCCAGUCUUCAAAAGGAUACCUGCCAAUAGAACCCUCAACUUUUAGAGGAUAAAGUUUGAAAGGAAAACACAACUGUGAAGACUUCUGUGUGACCUGGAAAAUGUAUCCCCCUGAGCUUUAGUUUCCUCGUCUAUGAAAUAAAGAGAUUGG